AAGCUUCCAGCUUCCAGAAGGGCACUUCCUGGAGGAACCCAGAGGCCUGGACCAGGUUGGGCAUCCCUGGUCAUCCAGGCCACAAGGCCAGAAGCCAGAGGCAGGCGGAGCCCCAGGGCAAGUGGAUGCACGGCUGGGCCUUGGCCCUGAAGCUCCGGAAUGUGGGGGCAGGGCUGCCCACUGACCUCACAAUGGUGGGUCUGCUGUCCCCGGCCAGGCUGCUGGCCGCCGGCCACCUCCCACAACCUGCUGCUGGGCAUGUCCCUCCUCAGCAGCUAUGAGGGCCUGCGGCAGGAGAUCCAGCGGUUGGCACAGGAGAACGAGGAGCUGCGGCGGCUUGUGCAGCUCAUCCAGGAGAACCAAGAGCUGAAGUUGGUCCUCAGGAACAGGGGCAGCAGCCUGGGCUUCUGCAGCUCAGGGUUCCUGGCAGAGGUGGCUGCCAGUCCCCGGGUGCCCAGGCGCAGAACCAUCAAGUUCAAAGAUGCUGAGAGAGUUCUCCCAGGGUUACCAUCUGAAGAGCAACUGCUGGACUCCAGCCGCACCAUCAUGGGGAGCCCUGAGGGGCGCUUCCACUUUGCCAUUGACCGCGGGGGCACCUUUACAGAUGUCUUUGCCCAGUGCCCAGGAGGGCAUGUGCGGGUCCUGAAACUGCUCUCUGAGGACCCUGCCAACUAUGCAGACGCACCAACGGAGGGCAUCCGCCGCAUCCUGGAGGAGGAGGGGGGCGUGCAAUUGCCCCGGGACCGGCCUCUGGACACCAGUCGUAUUGCCAGCAUCCGCAUGGGUACCACAGUGGCCACCAAUGCACUAUUAGAACGACGGGGGGAACGGGUGGCCCUGCUGGUGACACGUGGCUUCCGAGACCUGCUGCACAUUGGCACCCAGGCCCGCGAGGACCUCUUUGAUCUGGCUGUGCCCAUGCCAGAGAUGCUGUAUGAGGAGGUGCUGGAGGUGGAGGAACGCGUGGUGCUUUACCGCGGAGAACCAGGCGCCGGGUCGCCUGUCAAAGGCCGCACAGGAGACCUGCUGGAGGUGCAGCAGCCUGUGGACCUGGGGUCCCUGCGUGGGAAACUGGAGGGGCUCCUGUCCCGGGGCAUCCGCAGCCUGGCGGUGGUUUUCAUGCAUUCCUACACAUGGGCCAAACAUGAGCAGCAGGUGGGCACACUGGCCCGGGAGCUGGGCUUCACGCACGUGUCCCUGUCCUCGGAGGCCAUGCCCAUGGUCCGCAUUGUUCCCCGGGGACACACAGCCUGCGCCGACGCCUACCUCACUCCUGCCAUCCAGCGCUACGUGCAGGGAUUCCGCCGUGGCUUCCAGGGCCAGCUUAAGGACGUGCAGGUGCUCUUCAUGCGCUCCGAUGGUGGCCUGGGGCCCAUGGACGCCUUCAGCGGCUCCCGCGCUGUGCUCUCUGGUCCCGCCGGCGGUGUGGUGGGUUACUCGGCCACAACCUAUCAGCUAGAGGGUCGCCAGCCUAUCAUUGGCUUUGACAUGGGAGGCACAUCCACAGAUGUGAGCCGCUAUGCUGGGGAAUUUGAGCACGUGUUUGAGGCCAGCACAGCUGGUGUCACCCUCCAGGCCCCACAGCUGGACAUCAACACAGUGGCAGCUGGUGGGGGCUCCCGCCUCUUCUUCAGGUCUGGUCUCUUCAUAGUUGGGCCGGAGUCAGCAGGUGCCCACCCAGGACCCGCCUGCUACCGAAAAGGGGGCCCCGUGACAGUGACGGAUGCUAAUCUGGUCCUGGGUCGCCUGCUGCCUGCCUCCUUCCCCUGCAUUUUUGGGCCGGGAGAGGACCAGCCACUGUCCCCUGAAGCCUCCCGCAAGGCCCUGGAGGCUGUGGCCACUGAGGUGAACAGCUUCCUGACCAGCGGGUCCUGCCCGGCCUCCCCACUGAGCCUGGAGGAGGUGGCCAUGGGAUUYGUACGUGUGGCCAAUGAGGCCAUGUGCCGGCCCAUCCGUGCGCUCACACAGGCACGAGGUCAUGACCCCUCAGCCCAUGUGCUGGCCUGCUUCGGGGGAGCUGGCGGGCAGCAUGCUUGUGCCAUUGCCCGGGCCCUGGGCAUGGACACUGUGCAUAUUCACAGGCACAGUGGGCUGCUGUCGGCUCUGGGGCUGGCUCUGGCAGAUGUGGUGCAUGAGGCACAGGAGCCUUGCUCCCUGCCUUACACGCCAGAGACCUUCAUGCAGCUGGACCAGAGACUGAGCCUCCUGGAGGAGCAGUGUGUGGAUGCCCUGAAGGCCCAGGGCUUCCCUAGGUCCCAGAUCAGCACGGAGAGCUUCCUGCAUCUGCGUUACCAGGGAACUGACUGUGCCCUGAUGGUGUCUGCCCACCAGCACCCAGCUACGUCCCGCUCACCCCGUGCUGGUGACUUUGGGGCAGCCUUUGUGGAAAGGUACCUGAGGGAGUUUGGCUUCGUCAUCCCUGAGCGGCCUGUGGUGGUGGACGACGUGAGGGUGAGGGGCACUGGCCGCAGUGGUCUUCGGCUGGAGGUCGCCCCCAAAGCCCAGACUGGGCCUCCCCGGGUGGACAAGGUGACCCAGUGCUACUUCGAGGGGGGUUACCAGGAGACCCCUGUGUACCUGCUAGGGGAGCUGGGCUAUGGGCACCAGCUCCAGGGGCCCUGCCUCAUCAUUGACAGCAACAGCACCAUCCUUGUGGAGCCUGGGUGCCAGGCAGAGGUGACCAAGUCGGGGGACAUCCGCAUCUCUGUGGGGGCUGAGGCCCCCAGCACAGUGGGCACUAAGCUUGAUCCCAUCCAGCUGUCUAUCUUUUCACAUCGCUUCAUGAGCAUUGCUGAGCAGAUGGGCCGCAUCCUGCAGCGCACUGCCAUCUCCACCAACAUCAAGGAACGCCUGGACUUCUCCUGUGCCCUCUUUGGACCUGAUGGGGGGCUGGUCUCUAAUGCCCCCCACAUUCCUGUGCAUCUGGGAGCCAUGCAGGAGACUGUGCAGUUCCAGAUCCAGCACUUGGGGUCUGAUCUCCACCCGGGUGAUGUGCUGCUCAGCAACCACCCCCGCGCAGGGGGCAGCCAUCUUCCAGACCUGACUGUAAUCACACCGGUAUUUUGGCCAGGUCAGACUCGGCCUGUGUUCUACGUGGCCAGCCGAGGGCAUCAUGCAGACAUUGGGGGUAUUACACCAGGCUCCAUGCCCCCACACUCCACUGCACUGCAACAGGAGGGGGCCGUCUUUCUGUCCUUCAAGCUGGUCCAGGGGGGCGUCUUUCAGGAGGAGGCGGUGACAGAGGCUUUACGGGCACCAAGCAAGAUCUCUGGUUGUAGUGGAACUAGGAAUCUGCAUGACAAUCUGUCGGAUCUCCGGGCCCAGGUGGCAGCCAACCAAAAGGGCAUACAGUUGGUGGGGGAGCUCAUCGGGCAAUAUGGCUUGGAUGUUGUGCAGGCCUACAUGGGCCACAUUCAGGCAAAUGCAGAGCUGGCAGUGCGUGACAUGCUGCGGGCCUUUGGAACCUCCCGGCAGGCUCGGGGCCUACCCCUUGAGGUGUCUGCGGAGGACCACAUGGAUGAUGGCUCUCCUAUACACCUCCGAGUUCAGAUCAACCUGAGUCAGGGCAGUGCUGUAUUUGACUUCAGUGGCACUGGGCCGGAGGUGUUUGGCAACCUCAAUGCCCCGCGGGCCAUAACGCUGUCGGCCCUCAUCUACUGCUUGCGCUGUCUUGUGGGCCGAGACAUCCCACUCAACCAGGGCUGCCUGGCACCUGUGCGGGUGGUGAUUCCUAGAGGCUCCAUCCUGGACCCAUCCUCAGAGGCAGCGGUGGUGGGCGGCAACGUGCUCACGUCACAGCGUGUGGUGGACGUCAUCCUGGCGGCCUUCGGGGCCUGCGCUGCCUCCCAGGGCUGCAUGAACAACGUGACCCUGGGCAAUGCCCAUAUGGGGUACUACGAGACGGUAGCGGGCGGUGCAGGUGCGGGCCCCGGUUGGCACGGACGCAGCGGCGUGCACAGCCACAUGACCAACACGCGCAUCACCGACCCCGAGAUACUGGAGAGCCGGUACCCGGUCGUCUUGCGCCGCUUUGAACUGAGGCCGGGCUCUGGGGGCCGAGGCCGAUUCCGGGGCGGCGACGGCGUGGUCCGCGAGCUGCUCUUCCGCGAAGAGGCGCUGCUGUCGGUGCUCACAGAACGCCGGGCCUUCCAGCCCUAUGGCCUUCAGGGGGGUGAGCCUGGCGCCAGGGGCCUAAACCUGCUGAUCCGAAAGGAUGGCCGCACUGUGAACCUUGGCGGGAAGACGUCGGUGUCAGUGUACCCGGGGGAACCAGGUUGAGGGAUGGUUCCAGCGCCAGCGAGCCCAGCAGUCCUGAACUCUGGCACUUACUGGAAUCAGCACACUCCCAGGCAUUUCCCGGGUCUUGCUAAGCUGCCAUUGGAUUUGCCAUCUUCCUGCCUCAGCCUCCCAAGAUGGAGCCAGCUUUCUUCUGGUUGCUGUCAGGAGCCGCUCUGGAAAUACAUGCCCUUAAGUCCUGAGCAAGAGAUACUGAACAACUAUUGUGCCCUGCAAUAACUUGGGCUUUACCUCCACUCCAGAUAAUGAGGCAUGACUCCAGGAGUAGGGUUAUCCACUGGGGUCAAGUUACACUCACCAGUUCCUUUGUAAUCCUACCCCUUGCCCUUUUGGAUAGAAUGUUCUGCAAAACAGCAUCCCCCAAUAAAAGCCAAC